rnacentral:rRNA from 1 species
GCAGCCUGAUGCAGCGACGCCGCGUGAGGGAUGACGGCCUUCGGGUUGUAAACCUCUUUCAGUAGGGAAGAAGCGAAAGUGACGGUACCUGCAGAAGAAGCGCCGGCUAACUACGUGCCAGCAGCCGCGGUAAUACGUAGGGCGCAAGCGUUAUCCGGAAUUAUUGGGCGUAAAGAGCUCGUAGGCGGUUUGUCGCGUCUGCCGUGAAAGUCCGGGGCUCAACUCCGGAUCUGCGGUGGGUACGGGCAGACUAGAGUGAUGUAGGGGAGACUGGAAUUCCUGGUGUAGCGGUGAAAUGCGCAGAUAUCAGGAGGAACACCGAUGGCGAAGGCAGGUCUCUGGGCAUUAACUGACGCUGAGGAGCGAAAGCAUGGGGAGCGAACAGGAUUAGAUACCCUGGUAGUCCAUGCCGUAAACGUUGGGCACUAGGUGUGGGGGACAUUCCACGUUUUCCGCGCCGUAGCUAACGCAUUAAGUGCCCCGCCUGGGGAGUACGGCCGCAAGGCUAAAACUCAAAGGAAUUGACGGGGGCCCGCACAAGCGGCGGAGCAUGCGGAUUAAUUCGAUGCAACGCGAAGAACCUUACCAAGGCUUGACAUGGGCCGGACCGGGCUGGAAACAGUCCUUCCCCUUUGGGGC